AUGGACCGCCAGUGAUAAGUGGAAUGCCAUGUGGGCUGUCGUGAGCCCCACGCACGUGGGG
rnacentral:misc_RNA from 2 species